GUUCUCUCUAAGAAGCAAGAAAGGAGCCACCAAUACUGAGAGCAGUGCCCCUGUCCCUGAGCAAAGAACUGUCAUGAUGACAAACACUGUCAUUACCAGGAACACAGACUGGAAUUUUCAAGCACAUUAGACCCAUCUUCUAAUAGGAUUCACCGAUAAAAGUAGAAACAACCAAAUGACCAGAACACAAAAUAUUGAAUGUAUAACAAAAGAAGUCAGCACCAUGCACUAGAAGAAGAGGAAAAAGAAGAUGGCAUUCCUACAAGUCAACCCCCUUCAGAAUGAGGACCCCAAAAAUGGAUUAGAGUUUCUCAAAGAUAAUUUCAACAAUAUUGUACCAUAACUUCUGAUGCAGC